rnacentral:rRNA from 1 species
UACAGAGGUCUCAAGCGUUGUUCGGAUUCAUUGGGCGUAAAGGGUGUGUAGGUGGCGCGCUAAGUCGGGUGUGAAAUUUCGGAGCUUAACUCCGAAACUGCAUUCGAUACUGGCGUGCUUGAGGACUGGAGAGGAGACUGGAAUUCAUGGUGUAGCAGUGAAAUGCGUAGAGAUCAUGAGGAAGACCAGUGGCGAAGGCGGGGUCUCUGGACAGUUUCCUGACACUGAGACACGAAGGCCAGGGGGAGCAAAACGGGG